CCUCAGUUUAAUCAGCUGAAGCCACAUCAGCUGAAGUUACCUGUAGCAGCACAGGCAAGGCUACAUAAACAGCCUCACCGCAGCCCUGAGGUUGCUGCCUCUAGCAGGGUGCUGCUGGGGAGGUGCAGAGCAAGGAAGUUUUCCAAUGGGUGACAAGCACAGACUACGCCAUUUAUGUGAACACAUUAAUCUCCGGAACUUUCAAGAUGUAAAGGAACAUUUGGCAGCUGGGAACCAGGGAGAUGAAGGCAGAGAUUUUGUAACCGAAAGCAGUGUGCCACUUUAAUAUCAAACCCAGAAUAUUUCAUGGGAAAGAUGGAAAUGGAGCUUCCAGUCGGGAAAAGUCGAGGUGAAGCAGGUCGGUGUUCUGCUGCUAUUUCCGUAAGGGUGGAAGCUGUGCUGCAUGAUACAGACAUCGUGUAUUUAUACUGCUAUUGAAACACCUUCCAAGCAAAAACUUUUCAGUGGUCCCAAGUCUUCCUAAUAUGUGGGAAAUUAUCGGAGGAAAUCAGAGGAAAUUUUGAAGUGCUAAUCUGGAACAUCAAUUUUAAAAAACAAGCGCCAACCAAUUAAGUUCAAAAUAUUUGGAUUUCCCCCACCCAGUGCUCCAGUUUUGAUGAGCUCUAUUGAUUUCCUCUUGCGUAAGUCACUUUCUCGUAAGCAUACCUCGGGAGAGAAAUAAAUCUGUUUGGAUACACUAGGAGGUCAGGCUGCGUUUAGAUGGCACCACUCACGCUUUGUCCAGACUGAGCAUUUGGAAGAGCAAUACAAUUUAUUACUGAAUGAGAGGAUGCAAAGAGCAUCUAGGUUUAACUGCUCCAUAUUUUUUUGUUUUAAAAUAUUCCUGGCAAGCUGUUCCUUUCGGUUCCCAAAGCGCUAUCAGAAGUUGGUGGAAUAAUGCUCUUCCAUGGGUCCAGAAGAAGCCAGGAAGGGGCUCCCCUGCAGAGGCAGUAGUCGAUGUUUUGGAUAAGGUGUCCUGCAGCACGGUUAUGUGACACUUCUCGUGCAGCCCCAGCUACGUGAGACUGCUUGGAGAACUGCACCAUCCUCCUUUCUGGCUUGGGCACCAACCCCUGCCAGCAGCACGCAGACAACUUGGUGAUGCUCAUAGGAAGCUCCUGGGGGCAGAAGAGCUGUCUGAAAGCUGGCCUGUACCCUGCCAUCCCUCCCUCUGUGCCAGCCCCAUCCCUGAAAACAGAGAUUUCUGUCCUUUAAGUGGAUGGGGGUGGGAGCCUUGCUCAGUGUGGCAGUGUUGGUGAUGCUUGGGGAUGCUGAUGGAUGCCCGUGGCACCAUGAUUGUGGGCCAGGGCCUCAAGGAAAGAAACGUGAAGGCAGUGAUCAGAGAAAGUGUGCAGAAUUCUCCUGCUCUUUUCUUUUUCAGUUUAAUUGACAUUCCUGACCUUUUCUCAGGGCAGUUUCCACUGAGAAGCAGCACCAAAUAUCCCUCUCUUCACCUCCCUGUGACACACCUUGGCUGUCUCCAGGGAGCCUGUCCUCUCCCCAGCACCCUGCAGCAUCUGGGGAACAGACGUGGCAGCAGCUCAAGCUCCAAAAGUAAGGAUAAGCCUGCAACAUGUGGGCUUGCUCAUUAUUUCGUGACUUGGGUAACAGCUUGGUGUUUUCAGGCAUUGCUGAGGAUGCAGUGGGUGCCUGAUCACCCCUCUGGGAGUUGGAGGUGCAGAUUGUGGCAUGUUUUUCUAACAUCUUUGGGGUAUAAAUACAAGUGUGUGCAUCACCGCAUGGCUCCUAGGAGUGAGUAAGUGAUAAGCUUGCAAACAUCAUCUAGGACAGGUGUGUUACUGAAGGCACAAUAUGAAUUCAGAGAAGCAAGGGGGCAUUUUGGCUACAGGCAUGUGAAUAAGCCCCUUGCAGUGUGGUGCUGUGAGAUCUUUUUCCCACAGUAGUCUUGAAGAGAAAUGAGAAGAUGGAGCUAGGAUUUCAUCUCAGAAAGGAAAGGUGUGAUCCUACAGGUCUCCCUGCAGGGCUCAGCAGGUGGGAAGGCAGCACAGUCUCUCUGUAGCGAGCAGAGCUGUGGUUUAUCCUCUUUCCCUGCAGAGGGAGGUGCUGGUCCCCCUCCCUCUCCUUCCAGCCCGUCCUCCUCAGUAGCACACUGUAACCCAUGACCCCUCGCAUAAAAGAGGGGAAUACUAAUUGCUUGGAAACACUCCACAGAAAGUGGACGUUAAGUGGACUAGUGCCGACCAGCAAUGGAAAUUACAGCACGGACACCACCAGAAUCCAUCACAACUAAUGCGAUUAGAGCGGAUGGCACAGGAAUUCAUAAUGAUCUGCUCUGUGCCCUGAAGUUGUGUCAGUGUAUCCGAGCUGGGCUUUGCUCUUCUCCUGCCCUCUACUUGCACACUUUGAAGAGUACAGACAAGGGAGGCCCCCCAGGAGACUUUCAUCCCACCCUGUACCUCUCUCAUAGCACCCUUGUUCCUAAUUGUAUGCAGAGACAACAGCAAUGGCAAUGACUUCAUAACAAGCCCUCCUAAUGAAUAAAUCAUCCUAAUUUCAAGGCGAAGUUAGCACAACCAUCCACUGUGUCAUUUCCAUGAAUCACAGUGAUAAAGGGCUGUGCUUGUUGAGACAUUGCUUAUGCAAAUGCGAUAGAGCACUAAUGAAUGUAAGCAAAGUCCUGCAGUGCCAGGGCAAGGCUAGCUUGUGCCAAAACUCCCAGGAAGCGGCUGCUGCUUUGUCCAAGGGAGCAAGUGACGGGCUGGGGGGCGGGGGGAGGCUAUUCUUUAAGGAUGUAUUUUGGUGAUAUUUCUGGUUUAUGAACAGUGUGAUCUCUCUGAGUUGCUGGAAAUUGUGUUAGAGGAGGGGGCAUUUUGUAUCAGGAUGAUCCAAAGACCAGCUCCUUUGUGCAGGGGGAGGGCACUGUAAGGUGCUGGAAAGGACCCCUGAUACUUUGGAUUUUCUUCAUUAUUCUCCAAAGCCUAAUCUAAUUUAACACCUCACAAAGCAGGGCUUCGCUGAGGAGGUAUCUCUGUUCUCAAGCAGAUCUCUUUGCUAUUGUGUCUGUGCUGAUGUUCAGUACCUUGAUGCUAUUGUUUGUAUUCCCUGGAAGCCCAUAAAAGAGGUCUAGAGCCAACCAAGGGUUAGCCCUGCGGAGCUAGAUGAUUUAUGGGCAGCGAGCAAGAGAAGGCCCUGCCACAAACAGCCAGAAGGGUGAAAUAGCUGUGUGAGGGCCGGGCUGGCAGAGAAAGGAGGAGUGAUUUCUGCAAGGUCACACAAGUCACAGCACAAAGCUGGGAACAGGCUUGAUGAUUCACAGCAAAUGGCCAUAUAUUGUCCUGCUGAUGCAGAAGUCUCUGAUAUCCCUGACUAACACACCACGUCAAGAAAUUAUUUCAUGCUGCGGAAUCCUCUGGCACCAAGUAUCAGCCAAAAAAUGUCUAAAAUGGUGAUUGUAACUCAAUAUCCACCACCAAAGGUUUCCUGCUCACAAUAGGUGCCAAGAACAAUUGAUUUUUCUUUUUUUUUUUUACAAUUGCUCUCUUUGUUAGAUGAUGUCAUGGAUUAUUUAUCUCUGAAAGCAUUAAAUGAUACAAAGCCCUUGAUGAGUCACUGGGAAAAACAAUCUUCAAGCCUAGCUGGUGCAAGAAGAAAAGACCAGUGGCGGUCCGCUUAAUGGACCUGCUUUAGCAAAAGACGUGAGACCCAUAAAUCCCCCGGUCUCUAACACUUCUAACACUUGAAAGCAAUUGCAUUUCUCCGUUCCUGAGUCCUGUAGUCAAGCACCAAGCAGCUCCCUGCCUGGCGUUUGGGUUUCAAAGCCAAGCAGCAUCGCUCCUUGGAGAGUUUGAGCCAGCGAGGUCAGCGGCAUCACAGCACGUGCUGCUGUCCCCAGCGUGGCUCUGUCAAAGCAUCCCAGGCAAACUGAGCAGUUACCAGGUUUUUAUAAGGUCCCUGCAAUCCCCCUUUGCAGCCUGAAAACAAAGGAAAAACAUGCCUCAAGCACACUGAUAAAGGGCUUUUGAAUGGAGGCAGCUGAAUCACACGCCAUUUCACAAUUAGCACUUUAAUUUUGAACAUUAAUUAGGACGCUGGUGUUUGGAGAGUUUAGCUCUCCUCGACCCACUUACAUUGUUCAGAGACGGGCUAAAGAGAUACUGAAGUUUGCAAAUAAAUCAAUGGGAAAAAAAAUUAAAAGUCAGGAGCAGCUGGAGCCCAUGAGCUGAAUACUGGUGACCUGGGAAAUGCUUCACAAAAAGGGACUUGCUUACUAGAGCAUGGGAAGAAACAAUAUUUCAGUUACAAUGCCAUGACUCUAAAGAAAUAUAGGCACACAGAAGAAAGAGAAUGGCUUCUUGUGCAAGGUGUAGAAUAGGUUACAGCUGGGAAUCCACAGCCCAGCUUUGGUUCGCCAAAUAGCUCUCUUAGGAACUCCUGCAGUUAUCCUAUCUAGCUCUAACAUCUUCUGAAAACAUUAUUCUUGUGCAAGACGAAAAGAUGUUGCUUAUUUGGAGGUGUAAAUGCAAUAAAUUAAAGCCAAAAGUCUGUGAAGAGGCUUGGAUAUGAAUUCGUUAUGAAUACACCCUGAUGAAAUGAGAUUUACUGUCUCUGCUUUGCAUAAGGGAGUGGAAUGAAAGCUGGAAAUAAAGCCAGACAGAGAGGAGCAUAUCCCAGCCGUAAUGUAAACAGGAGUGCUAUUAAGGAGUAGCUACAGGUGAAGCAACAAAUAUAUUUAUCCUCAAGAAUUAGAGACACUGAAAACACCUGCUGCUUUCCAGAAGGAUGAAAGCCAAGAAAAGAGAAUUCCUCUCAAGCCAGAAGAGAGGAAAUUAAAUAAGACGUCAGCGGCAAAACACAGCCCCAUUGCAGCACCAGCAGAGCGGCCUUGGUCACGUCCUCAGGGCCACCUGGUGUAGCAGCCAGCAGAGCAUCCAUCCCUGCAGCAGGAGCAUCGAAGCAGGGACUGGAAUACAAACAGCACAUUCAGCUUGGCAGGGUAGAUGGCAGUUUUAGGGAGCAGGGAGGACUUUACCUUGUCACACAGUGCUCCAGCCUUCCUGGCAAGCACACGAUGCAUGCAGGAGGCAGUGUCUCACAUCCUCCCCUAUUCCUGUCCCUGGCACAGAAGAGGCAAGAGCUCAGGCUCUCGCAAUUUGCAUCAGAGACCACUGCUGGAAAGCACACAGCAGAUUGGUGAGUUGCAUGAAUGCUGUUUAUUUUUCUUUAUGGUGGAAAAAAAAGCUGCUGUGGAGAUCAGGGUCCUAUUACUCAGUGCUCUGCAUGGUGUUCUGCUUGAUUUAAGUGGCAGAAACCUUAAUUAAACAGGCUUCUUAAUACUGCAGUUCAAACUACUGGAAAGAAACAUUUGUCUGGUCAAAGCAAACAGGGUUUGAUGAGUUCCCCUGAGGGAUCCAGGGCAUGGAACGAGAACGGCACAGAGGAGAUGCUAAGUCCAGCAGGAUAUGGCUGGAUUAUUCCUCUCAUACCCUUUAUAU